CAAAUAGCUCAGUCAGCAGAGCAUGAGACUGUUAAUCUCAGGGACAUGGUUUGAGCCCCACAUUAGGUUAAAGA